rnacentral:rRNA from 1 species
CCUACGGGGGGCAGCAGUGAGGAAUAUUGAUCAAUGGACGAGAGUCUGAACCAGCCAAGUAGCGUGAAGGAUGACUGCCCUAUGGGUUGUAAACUUCUUUUAUAUGGGAAUAAAAUGUUCCACGUGUGGGAUUUUGUAUGUACCAUAUGAAUAAGGAUCGACUAACUCCGUGCCAGCAGCCGCGGUAAUACGGAGGAUCCGAGCGUUAUCCGGAUUUAUUGGGUUUAAAGGGAGCGUAGGUGGAUUGUUAAGUCAGUUGUGAAAGUUUGCGGCUCAACCGUAAAAUUGCAGUUGAAACUGGCAGUCUUGAGUACAGUAGAGGUGGGCGGAAUUCGUGGUGUAGCGGUGAAAUGCUUAGAUAUCACGAAGAACUCCGAUUGCGAAGGCAGUUCACUGGACUGCAACUGACACUGAGGCUCGAAAGUGUGGGUAUCAAACAAGAUUAGAUACCCGGGUAGUC